rnacentral:tRNA from 1 species
AGAAAAGUAAGCUAAGCAUAAGCUAAUGGGUUCAUACCCCAUAAAUAGAGGAAUCUCUCUUCUCUA